UAAGCAACCUGCCCCAAAGACCGGGACAACGUUCCGAAAGGAGCGCUAAUACCGGAUGUGCCCACUGAGUGACAUCGCUUAGUGAGUAAAUCGCGCAAUCGGCUUUGGGAGGGGCUUGCGGCCUAUCAGCUAGAUGGUGGGGUAACGGCCUACCAUGGCGACGACGGGUAGCUGGUCUGAGAGGAUGGUCAGCCGGAUUGGGACUGAGAUACGGCCCAG
rnacentral:rRNA from 1 species